UACGUAGGGUGCGAGCGUUGUCCGGAAUUAUUGGGCGUAAAGAGCUCGUAGGCGGUGUGUCGCGUCGGCCGUGAAAACCUGGGGCUUAACUCUGGGCGUGCGGUCGAUACGGGCAUCACUAGAGUUCGGCAGGGGAGACUGGAAUUCCCGGUGUAGCGGUGAAAUGCGCAGAUAUCGGGAAGAACACCCGUGGCGAAGGCGGCUCUCUGGGACGGUACUGACGCUGAGACGCGAAAGCGUGGGGAGCUAACAGG
rnacentral:rRNA from 1 species